GGGGGUGGGGGUAUGUUUUCUGAAGGAGAAAAGAGGAACCUGGGGAAGAAACAGAAGAGAGAGGAGGCUGGAAAACAGAGGACACUAUGACAUGUAUUCCCCAGGCUAGCUCAGGACAGAGGCUCAUGUUUCUGGGGACAGAAUCACAAGCAAAAGCUCAAAUGGCCAUUUUGAUGAAAACUUAAAAGUUGCAAAACUUAAAGGCACAACACCAUGCAUACUGCUUUAGAACUAAGGUGGAAAAGUAUGCAGGCAAUAUGGAACGGGAAGACCACUUUCCAUUUCUGGGAAGAAGGACCACUGCAGAUGUGUCCUGAAGGAACUAAAGGGGAUCGAGACAGCAGGGGGAAUGUCACUGUAAUUGUCAGAGAAGUGGGGUAGCUGUGUUCUCAUGGCAGCACCUCUUAAGAAAGAAGACAGAAGAAGAGCAGACUUAGUUCCUGUGUGGCAGCCCCCGUGGUGGGAAUUCCCAGCCUUGACCAUGGCACACUGGAAGAGGAACAUGGGUAACAAGGAACAUUUCCUGAAACUUGUUGCCAUUUAUAAGCAUACCAAAUGAGAAAGAAGAGGCGCUACUAGUAUGGAACUGGGGCAACAUCACAAAAUCAACAAGGAAAGCAUCUGAAAUAUCUGUAAAGGAAAAGGAAAAGGGAAGGAGGACAAUUCUUUACCAAGUUCAGUAAUACAAUAUGAAAGAGGGGCCAAAAAUUCAUAUUGAACAGGAACAAAAAUGUCUCUGAACCCCAAAAAAGUCAGCCUACAAGAACAAAUUGAGAAAAUACUAAAGCUGGAACUAGAUCAAUAAGAUUCAGAAUGGGUUCUAGAUGCCGUCGUUUUUCUGUCAAGAGGCAUUAAAAGAAGAGAGUGAAUACUGUAGUGGACCUCCCAAGGCUCCUGCUUAGGACCAACGCUCUGGUUUCAGUUGUCAGAAGCACUGACUGCUGGUAGGCUGGCUGCAAACACAGUCAUCCCUGGAAAUCUCCCUCAGACAGAGAGCUGCCUCACCCAAGUGAGGCCCCUUCCUGAAGGACUGACAGAGACUGUUGCCAUCUGCAUUGAAGUGCAACUUCUUCCCUUGCCUCUUCCUAAUUUUCUCACUUCCACUCUUCCUCACAGCAUUCCCAAGUAAACUUCCUUCAUGUGAAUCUUGUCACCUCAGAGUAUGUUUUGCAGGGAACCAGAACAACGAUACCUCCCUCUUUACUCCUACCUGUGUCUUGGAACAUACACAGACUACAUGUUAACUCCAUGCACGGUUAAUUGCCAAAUGACUCACAGACCGUGCGACGUCAUCAUCAGGCUGCCUGGAGAGGAUGGGAAGGAUAAAACUUCUCACAAGUUAAUGGAGACAUAGACUCUUCUACUUUCUCAAUUGAAUUCAUUUCUCACAAAUGUCACCUGUAGUUAUUUAGAUCCAAGAAAACGUCAAAAAUGGAACUACAUAUUUGUAUGUAACAAAUGAUAGUUGGUCUUUAUUAUGACAUUUAUUCACACUUGUACGUAGAAAUGGGAAAUUGUCUCAAGGUUACAUAACUCAUGAGCUGGUACUCUUCAUCUCUUUCAUGAAGACAGAUGUUUUGGGAGACUAGAAGCCAUGUAUCUCUGUUGUACCAGGUGCUGCAUAUCACCUUGUUUUAGUUAUACAUUAGAAUACUAUUGAAAACUCAUGACUCAAAUUGAUUUUGAUUUCUAAGAAAUGAUGAGGAGAACCUAAAAUUUAACCCAUUCAUUUUACCAUAAUUGAGUAUUUCUCAGAAUUUAAGCUCUUUCUCAUUAUCAGUUGUCUAUAUUUACAGGUUGUAAAACUUGAAAUACACAAGAUUUUCACAGGUGUAGGUACAAAACAGGCCAAAUUAUAAAACCAAAAGAGUUUAAAUGAACCUAUGUAAUUUAAGGUAAAUAUUAUUACCUGUUUUACCUUGGUAGUGUAUAUUGUGUGUAUUGUACAUUCCACUUUUAUAUCUCUAUAAAGACAAUAUCUUUCCUACAUAUUAAUGUAGGUAAAUAGCUAAUGUUAUACAGAGUUCAGGAGGAAUUAGAUUAUUAGAUUUCCUCCCUUGUGGAUUGUCUUAAUCUGCUGAGGCUGCUAUAACAAAUACCAUGGAAUGGGUAUCUUAAAUAAUAGAAACUGAUUUCUCACAAUUCUGGAAGGCCGCAAUCAGGGUGCCAACAUGGCUGGGUUGUGGGUUGUGCCCUUUUAUUGGUUUGUAAACAGUAUCUUCUUUUUGGAUCUUCACAUGAUGGGGGGGCAGGAAGCAAACUCUUUGUGUCUCUUGGGGUUUUUUUUGUUUGUGUUUGUUUUUGUUUUUUGUUUCAUUUUUUUUUUGUUUUUUGGGUUUUUCUGUUUUUGAGGGCCGCAGGUGUGGCAUAUGGAAGUUCCCAGGCUAGGGAUCUGAGCCGUGUCUGCAACCUACACCACAGCUCACCACAACUGAGCAAGGCCAGUGAUUGAACCCACAUCUUCAUGGAUACUAGUUGGGUUCCUUACUGCUGAGCCACAGCAGGAACUCUCUUGUAAAAAAGGUGUUAAUCCCAUCAUGAGGGCUCUACCCCCAUGAGCUAAUUACUUCCCAAAGGUUCCAUCUCCAAAUAUCAUUACAUCCGCAUUAAGACUUCAACAAAGGAAUUUAGUGGGGAGACACAAAUAUUCAAUUCUUAUUUUUCACACCUAAUCAAAGAAGUACAAAUUAUGCAAUCAAAACUUAAAACUGAGUAGUUUAUAUUGUCCAUAGAAUUUUAAGAGUUUAAAUCAGAAUGGAGCUUGCAUUUACAAAACAGGUAACAAAGCCCUUUGUUACCAUCAUUUCAAAAUGUAGAUAAGAAUUGUAUUUCUUAUUGGCUGCUUUUAACUUUGUUGAAGGUACAUUAAAUUAUGUUAAUGCGUCAGUGGGGAUAUAUUUUGCCUUCACUUUACUACCCAUUGAACAAUUGCUUUAUUUUUACAGAAUUACAGAUAGGAAUGGAAAAUAGGCACCCCAUAAACUAGAGAAGUACUUGAGAGUAACCCCUUGGAAUAACCAAGGAAAGAAGAGCUAGAAAGAGUGGAGGUAUUAAAUUAUAGGAUAUUUUCAGAGAAAUACAAUGUUUGAAAAAACUGCAAGUGCCUGAGACAAUUCAAACUAAUCGAUGAACUACCAUAAUAGUGGUUCUUAUGAGAUUUGGUUUAAUGUCUAGAAGAAAAUUAUCUAAAAUUAGCAUAUCAGUUAUUUGCAGGUAAACAGAUGUUUUAUUUCUGCAGCUUGAGGGUGUUCAAAAACAAUUUGUUUACUGAAAUAACUUAUAAAUCUUCCUCCAGCAAUCUUAUUUUAUUUUAUGAAUUAACCUGGAUAUAUUAAUGCAAAGUUUGCAGAGUUCCUGUUGUGGCUCAGUGAGUUAAGAACCUGAUAUACCUUCUGUGAGAAUGUGGGUUCGAUCCCUGGCCUCGCUUGGUGGGUUAAGGAUCCAGCACUGCUAUGGCUAUGGCAUGGGCUGGCAGCUGCAGCUUUGAUCCGACCCCUAUGCUCCAGGUGUGGGCUUAGAAAAAUUAAUUAACUAACUAAUUAAAGCAAAGUUUGCCACACACUCCCCUCCUGGGUGCCGCACCUUCCAUUUAGCUAAGCCACAAAUCUGUACAUUUGUGGUAUUAACUGCUAGCCUUCUCCCUCAUCUUUGUUAUCUGAAAGACAAGAUUAUGCUUUUUCAUUUAAUAAGUGCUGCUUCUAUCAAAAUAAGUUUUGUCAUUAAAAUACUUAAAUAUUACUAUCAAAAUAUUUAAUCAUAAACAAGAUUUGAAAAGACUGUCUAAAUAGAAUAUGAUAUUUUCCCGACUAUAUUUUACAUCUUAUGAAUAGUUAUUUGAUCCAAUCUUAGCAUUGCCGGGAAUAGAGUUGUUCAGAAGCAGGGUGGACUCCUAACAGGGACAACAUCUCAAAACUUGUCCUUGACACUCGGCCAGGCACAUUUACCACCAGCAAUCCCUAAGACAGAACAAGGAAGAAGAAUCAUCACUACAGACAGUACGUUUGGUUAAGAGGAUAUGUUAAACAGAAAAAUGAUUUCUGUCUUCAAAAGAGUUAAAAAGGAGUUUCUUCUCAAAAUAGUUAUUAACAGUCUUAAACCUCAUUAAAUGUUUUCAAAUGAUUACAAAUUCUCAAUUUAAAACUGGGCAAGCCUUAAAGGUUUUUAUGGCUGUUUAGAAAAGGCAAUGAUCAGCUCAGUGUGUCUUCAUGUAGCUAAGUGACUCCUCAUAAUUAUUCAAAAGGAUGACCUGGUUCAGAACUUGGGCUCUGGAGCCAGAGCAUCUGAGUUCAAAUCUUGACCUCACUACUUCCUAGCUGUGUGACGUUGCCAUUAGGUCAGUGAGCCAUUUACCUUGUGCCUCAGAUUCCUCACCUAAUAAAUGGAGAUGAUUACAGUUACACCUACCUCACAGAGUUAUGAAGAUUCAAUGUAUUAAUACAUAUAAAGCAAUUGGAAUGAUGCUUAGCACAAAAUUACCUACCCAGUUUCAUCAGUUAAUUUUUCCAUAUAGAAGCUAACUUAUAAAUUCCCCCAACUUUGUGUCCUAGUUUAGAUUCUCAUAUAAUCCAUUAUGUCGACAUGUAAUGUUGUUAAAGCUUCCUACCAUUGAAAAAAUGUGUAUAUAACAUCUGGACAUCAAAAAAAUGAGGUGAUUUUGUUAAAAGUUUGGUACUGUAAAGAAUUGUGACCUACUUUCUUUUGGUUUGUGAAGAGCCCAGCCUUUCGUACCUGAAGUUUUUUAGAACAUAAGAAACAUCACACUGAGUUGCACAUUCUCUCUCUGAUAGUGGUACCUAGAAGGCAGCCCCAGGGAUAACCUAGCUUCCCUCCAUAUGACCAAACUAAAGCCUUCAGGAAGGUACACCAAUGAUGUUGUAUUCCUUCCCUUGGACCCAUCAGGCAUCUCUCAUUCAUUUACGCCAAUCUUUAAAUCACAUGCCAUUUUUAAUCUAUCCCAAUCUAGAUGGGUGAGAAGCUAAAUACAUGUCUAUUUCUUUUUAUAUCUAACCUGAAAAUUACACUUUUAAUCUUCACUAAGCACCUUUUUGUUCUAAUUCCAUAGAUAAGGAAAUAAAGUAUAAAGCCAUGGCGGAUAUUUUGACUUAAUUCCUAGAGAACUUUAUUAAUCUGAUAAAGCCUGUAGGGGUGUUUUUGUUUUUUUUUUUUUUUCUGAAAAUCCAGUUAUGCUCAUGAUUUUCCUUAUUCAGAUCAGUGAAUUCUUCACCUGACCAAUGAAAAUGCUAAGACAUUUGCAGUUCAUUAUAAGAGAAGAAAUGGAUAUUUCCUGAGCAUAGUUUCUUAUUUUAUUUGCUACAAAUUGUCUAUUUGUACAUCAAUAUACUCUGAUUAGUUUGUUUAUGCCCUUGAGAUGUUACAUAAUUAAGUAUAUAAAAUGACUUAUUUUUACUUCCUUAAGGUAUAUGAUAACUAGAUUCAUAAAUUUAAAUUUUAAAGACUCAGUUUCAUUUAACAUGGAUUCCAGUAUUCCUGUAAGUAAAUAAUAAAUAGUAUUUAAUACCUAUAGCUAUACUUUAUAUCUGCAAUGGAGGAAAGCUGGUUAACACCUUUCCAUUAAUUUUAAAGAUGUGUUUUUUUAAAGAUGUGGUUUUUUAUAUUCACAAUAUAAAACAAGCAGCCCAUCCACCACUUUUUUCCUUUACAUGCAUAAAUCAAAUAAAUAGAGCUUUAAUACAUAUUAUUUAAGCAGAGCAUUAUUAGGCCAUACAUUUUUUUUUCAAAAUCUUGUCUUGAAGAUAGUAUGACAAAAGUUAUAACUCUACAAUUAUACCUGAGGAAUUCACCAAGGAGAAAUGGAAAUAUAUGUCCACACAAAGACUUGCAUGUGAAUAUUCAUGGCAGUGUUGUUUUUUAUUAAACAGAAAGUAGAAACAAUCCAAUGUCCAUCAACUGGUUGAAUGGUGAAAAAAAAUAUGAUCUAUCCAAGCAACAGCACACCAUUCAGCAAUAAAAAGACCUGCUAUGUAGCACAGGGAACUCCAUUCAAUACUGUGCAAAGAAUCUGAAAAAGAUAUGUACAUGUAUAACUGAAUCACUUUGCUGUACACCUGAAACUAACACAACCUUGUAAAACAGCUGUACACUAAUAAAUUUUUUUAAAAUAGUAAUGAAGUGAUGAUACACGCUACAACAUAGAUAAGCCUGAAAAAUACUAUGCUAAAUGAAAAAGAGCCAUAUGCAAAAACCAUGUAUCACAUGAUUCCAUUUAUAAGAAAUGCCCAGAAAAGGGAGAUCUGUGAGAUAGAAAGUAGAUUAGUGAGUGGUUGUCUGGGCCAGGAGGUAAGAAUGAUAAGGGGUGACUGCAGAUGGGCCCAAGGGAUCUUUACGGGGUGCUGGAAAUAAUCUGGAAGGAGAUUGUAGUGAUGGUUGUUCAAGUCUGUACAUUUACUAAAAAAUGAUUAAAUGAUACAUUUAAAACAAGUAAAUGUGUGGUAUAUAAAUUACACCUCAAUAAAGCUGUUUAAAAAAAGAUAACAUGGAACAUCUGAAAAUGUCAAAGGGUCUGGCUGACUUUGUUUCCAUUAGCACAUGUACAGAUAGGCCUCAAAACUGCCCCCCCAAGGGCAGUAUACAGGUGAUUUUCAGUCACAUACUUGACCGAGCAGGAAAAAACACACAUGGAUUUCAAGUUUACAAUGUCCCAGUCCUAUUCUCUUCCCAGAUGUUGUGAUAAGAGUCAGUUGCCAAUAAGGAUAAAUAUAUUUUAUAUAGUUAGCUUAGAAAUGUGGUUUUUUAAGUAUGCCUAUAUCCUUGUAUAUUCAUAAACAAUUUUUGGAAGUUAUCUAGGAAACAUCAUAGUGGGUACAACUGGGAAAUGUAAGAGGAUUAAAUAGGGGGAAAAGGUUGUGGAUUCAUUCUUGUUAUUUGGUAGCUUUUUUUUUACUGUUUAAAUGCUUUAUUUGUUCAUGUACUACUUUGGUAAUUUAAAAAUGUUUAUAAAAAAGAAAUUUGUGGUUUUUUAUAAAAUGCUUAGUAUUAGUAAAAUUAUAAAUGAUGAAAUAGAUACUAUAGUAAUGAUGCCUAUAUAUGUAUACUUUCAGUAUUUUGUUAUUCAUGUCUUUUUAUACUUCCUGAGGAAAAAUGUUUUCAUUAAAAAAUUUCCUACAACAAUUGAGCAAGUGCAGCAACAUCAGGUAUGAUUUAAAUCUGCAUACCACUGCAUUAAACAGAGAUGACUUUAGCGUGAUAUUUUGCAGUUAAUUAUUAAACUAUAUUGCUUCUUAGUGUCCUUUUUUCAUUUUUUAUUUUUUUGGCCGCACCUGUGGCAUAAGCAAGUUCCUGGAGCUAGGAGUUGAAUCAGAGCUGCAACUGUCAGCCUAUAUACCACAGCCACAACAACGCCAUAUCUGAGCUGCAUCUGCGACCUACGCCACAGCUUGUAGCAAAGCUGGAUCCUUAACCCAUUGAGUGAAGCCAGGGAUCAAACCCAUGUCUUCACGGACAUGAUGGUGGGUUCUUAAACCACUAAGCCACAAUGGGGAAACUCCCUUCAUGUCCUUUUUUAAAGUCAAAAGUAUUAAAUACCAUGGGAUAAAUUUUACCUAAGUUUGGUUUUAAAACUUAUUUGCCAGUCUUAAAUAACAACAGUGUCACAUGCACCACUGUAACUGCUCUAGAUGUAUCAACUCAUUUAAUCCUCACAAUAACUAGAAAAGGGACAUGCUAUUUAAUUGUCAUUUUCCUGAUGAGGUUACUAUAUAUGGAGAGAUUAAGGAACUUGCUCCAUUUCACACAGCUGAUAAGUGGUAGAGCUUGGAUUCAAACCCAGGCAUAGAUUUCAAGGCCCACGCUCUUAUCCAUGACACAGCUGUCUCUUAAUGGAGGUAUGUAAGGAUAAACUAAUAUUGGACUUACAUUAGGAAGAUGAAAAGUGCUCUAAUUAUUCAAACAGUUUUAUUAUCUAUUCAGUUUUUAAGAAUGGGGGGACCAGGGAAGAACUGCAGUAAUUUACUUAAAUAAGCCAGAAAAACAACAUAAAGUAUUAUGCACUUAAGUUGCAGGCAUUGAAAAAAAGGUCGCUUAACAUUGAGAAUCAUUGAGAAUCAUAAAUGGCAGCCCUAGAGGAGAAUUUUUUAAGGAAAAAUAAUAACUAAGAUGAGUUUGCUCUUGAAAAGAGGAGAGAGUCCUACCACACAAAAGAAAGAAAUUAUCUCAUUAAGAAUUUUUAAUACCAGGACUUAAUUUAAGGAGGCUCAAAGAAACAGACAACUGAAGCAUUACAUUUAAAAAUGGCUAUUUUAAAUUAUAUCUCCUAAAAUGGGGUUAUAUUAUUUAAAUGUAACUAAGAAUAAAAUAAAAUUUUUCUUUACUGUUGUUAUGUUCUCCCUAUUUCCAUCAAUACUUUCGACAGAGAAACACAUACAAGAUUACAUGGAAGCAGUGGACUGACAGCUUCUAUCAUCUAGCAAAUAUCACAGCUCACUUUACCUGGCGGUUCUUGUGAAUAUGCUCCAUAUUCUGCUGCAAGUUACUCUCUUUGUGCCUCAAUUUCUCAGUCUUUGUAUAUCCAUGAGAUUGUUUCAAAAACCUAUAACUUGCUUAGUAUAAAUCUUAAAAACCUUACAUGAAAGCUAGUUGCCAUGCAUAAAGAAUUCUACCCAUCUACCUAUAUAACCCCCAAAUAUAAAAAUUAUUACAUUUAGAACGCAUGAGCAAUGAGGUCCUAGUGUUUAGCACAGGGAACUAUAUCCAAUCUCCUGGGAUAG